rnacentral:rRNA from 1 species
CUCAGUAACACGUGGAUAACCUACCCUUAGGACCGGAAUAACCCCGGGAAACUGGGGAUAAUACCGGAUAAGCCAUAGACGUUGGAAUGCCCUAUGGUUCAAAGCUCCGGCGCCUAAGGAUGGAUCUGCGGUCUAUCAGGUUGUAGUGGGUGUAACGUACCUACUAGCCGACGACGGAUACGGGUUGUGAGAGCAAGAGCCCGGAGAUGGAUUCUGAGACACGAAUCCAGGCCCUACGGGGUGCAGCAGGCGCGAACACUUUACAAUGCGGGAAACCGCGAUAAGGGAACCCCGAGUGCCAGCAUCAAAUGUUGGCUGUCCGGAUGAUUAAAAAUCAUUUGUUAGCAAGGGCCGGGCAAGACCGGUGCCAGCCGCCGCGGUAACACCGGCGGCCCGAGUGGUAGCCGUUUUUAUUGGGUCUAAAGGGUCCGUAGCCGGCCCGAUCAGUCCUUUGGGAAAUCUGGCAGCUUAACUGUCAGGCUUCUAAGGGAUACUGUCAGGCUUGGGACCGGAAGAGGUAAGGGGUACUCCAGGGGUAGGAGUGAAAUCUUGUAAUCCCUGGGGGACCAUCUGUGGCGAAGGCGCCUUACCAGAACGGGUCCGACGGUGAGGGACGAAAGCUAGGGGAGCAAACCGGAUUAGAUACCCGGGUAGUCCUAGCUGUAAACGAUGCUCGCUAGGUGUCAGACACGGUGCGACCGUGUUUGGUGCCGCAGGGAAGCCGUUAAGCGACCACCUGGGAAGUACGGUCGCAAGGCUGAAACUAAAG